rnacentral:rRNA from 1 species
AUGGCUUCAAUCGGUUGGGUGCUACUACUCUUUAUUGCGGCGCUUUCUGCGCUACCCACCUCCGGCGCCAACGGUGAUGGUAAUAACCUCACUCUCCGGUGCCAUCCAGACCAGUCCGCAACCCUCUUCCAACUAAAGCAAUCCUUCUCGUUCUUCCAUUACCCCAACGCCCUUGAGUCAUGGCAGGAUGGUACUGAUUGUUGUCUUUGGGAAGGUGUCAGGUGCAGCAAUUCCUCGGGCCAUGUGACUGCUUUGGAGCUCGGUGGGCGUGGCUUCUAUAGUCAGGGCCUUGACCCUGCAAUCUUCAAGCUCACCUCGCUCCAACAACUUGACCUUAGCAUGAACAAUUUUGGCCCGUACAGUCUCCCGACAAAUGGGUUUGAGAGGCUCACCUCGCUCACCCACCUCAACCUCUCCUAUUCAGUCUUCCGUGGCCAGAUACCUACUGGUAUCGGCAAACUUGCCAACCUUAUCUCCUUGGAUCUUUCUACUACUACUGAUGAUUCUGCUGUUUAUGGCUAUGAUACCAACGCCCUUGAUGUUAUUAAUUUGGGGCUAAUUUUGUCAUCGAUCGGAGACCUGCAGAACUUGGCAAGCCUAGAACUCUCAAGAUGGAACUUCUCUUGGACAUCCUUCUCUUCAGUUGCGAAACUCAAGAACUUGAAAAGCCUGUCAAUCAUUGACUGCUACUUCACUAAGCCAUCACUAUCGGCAAUUGGCAACCUCACAAACUUGGAUAGCUUGGAAAUCUUUGCUUAUGAUUUCUUAUGGCCAAUACCGUCUGCAAUUGGUAAUCUCAGAAGUUUGAAAAGCUUGGAAUUUGUUAAUCCUUAUGGUUUCUUAGGGCCAAUACCAUCUGCAAUUGGCAAUCUCAGAAGCUUGAAAAGCUUGGAAAUUAAUGCUCAUGGUUUAUUAGGGCCGAUACCAUCUUCAAUUGGCAAUCUUAGUAGCUUGAUAAGGUUGGAAAUUUCUGCUUCGGAGUUUUCUGGGCCAAUGCCAGCUUCAAUAUGCAAUCUUAGUAAUUUGGAGGCUUUGGAGAUUCACAGUUCUGGGUUUUCUGGGCCAAUACCCUAUGCAGUUGGACUACUCAAGAAAUUGACAUCACUACGGCUUCGAAAGUGUAGCUUUUCUGGGAGCAUACCAAAUUCAGUAUUUAAUUUGACUCGCCUAAUUGAGUUAGAUCUUUCAUUUAAUCUUCUCAGGGAACUUCCAGCAUCUGUUUUCACUAUUCCAACAUUGCAACGCUUAUACAUUCAAUCAAACCAAAUAUCUGGCUCUAUACAAGACAUCAACGCGACGUCUUCACACUUGGUAUCAGUGGAUCUUAGAAGAAAUAACUUGAUGGGAAAUAUUCCCGUGUCAUUCUUUCAACUCACAAGUCUGGCUUAUCUCGAUAUUGGCUGGAAUAACCUAAUGGGUUCAGUGGAUCUUUCCUUGUUUUGGAGGUUAGAAAAUCUCGUUCAUUUGGGUCUUUCCAACAACAAUCUAUCAGUCAUGGACAUGGAUGGAGAAGGUAACAACCCUCCAUGUACCUAUCUCCCUCGGGUUACCAGGUUGGAGCUAGCAUGUUGCAAUCUAACAAGAUUCCCAUGUUUAUUGGCACACAUUAAUCAGUUGUCUUACUUGGACUUGUCAUGCAAUAGAAUCAGUGGGGCCAUUCCAAAGUGGAUAUGGCCAACAUGGAACAGUAGCCUUACAUAUUUGAAUCUUUCACAUAACAUGUUCAGCAUUAUGCAACUUACUUCAUAUGUUCUCCGUUUCAACCGGUUGAAUGCUCUUGAUCUCAGUUCCAAUCAACUUCAGGGGCAGAUUCCUAUGCCAAGCCCACCAGCAGCCAUCUUGGAUUAUUCAAACAACAAUUUCUCUUCAGUACUUCCAAACUUCACUCUCUAUCUUGGUCUGGAAUUCAAAAUUUUGAAAAAUAAUAUCAGUAUCCUUGACCUAUCUUUCAACAACUUCAGCGGGAGGAUAGCAGCAUGUUUAAUAGAAGAUGGUUUCAUAAGCGCGUUAAGUUUGCGGGAUAAUCAAUUUGAAGAUGUGUUGCCUAACAAUAUCAAAGAUCAAUGUCUACUUCAGACAUUAGACUUGAACAAUAAUAAAAUUGAAGGUCAGCUUCCAAGGACACUUAAGUGCUUGCAGCUGGAGUUCCUUGACAUAGGCAAUAAUCGCAUGGUAGGUACUUUUCCAUCAUGGCUGGGGAAGCUUCCCAUACUUCGAGUCCUUGUAUUGAGAUCCAACCAAUUCUAUGGGCCGGUGGGUGGCGAUCCUCCCAUAGAUGACAGAUCAGGAGAAUACUUCUCUAGCUUGCAGAUUCUUGAUAUUGCCUCGAACAAUUUCUCCGGUAAUUUAAGUCCAGAAUGGUUUAAGAGGUUUUACUCAAUGAUGGGAGAUUUAACCACUUCAGGUGAAAUUAUGAGUGACCAUAGCAGUACCGUUUAUGAACCAUAUCAUCAAGAGCCCUAUAUAGAUAUUGUGGUGAUAACAUAUAAAGGCAUUUAUAUGACAUUUCAUAAGAUCUUGACCACUUUAACAUCAAUUGACCUGUCAAACAAUUCAUUUGAUGGUACAAUUCCUGUAUCACUUGGGAGACUUAAUUUACUACUUCUACUAAACAUGUCAGGCAAUGCCUUCACCGGUGUUAUUCCGCGAGAAUUUGGUGGGAUGACUCAAUUAGAAUCACUAGACCUGUCUAAGAACCAUCUUUCUGGUGAUAUUCCGGAGGGGCUAACAAAUCUCACCUUUCUUGGUAUGUUGAACUUGUGCGACAAUCAACUGGUGGGAACGAUACCACGGUCAGGUCAAUUUGCAACGUUCGAAACUAGUUCAUUCGAAGGGAAUCUGGGGCUGUGUGGACUGCCAUUGUCUAACCCAUGCGACAUUCCACCUGCUCCUGCAAGUGCGGUGCAUGGGGAGAAGUCCUCUCAUGUGGACGUCAUCUUGUUUCUCUUCACCGGGCUGGGCUUUGGUAUUGGAUUUGCUGCUGCCAUCCUCAUGAGAUGGGGUCGGAUCGGCGAAUGGAUUGUGAAAUCUGCAAGAGCUUUGAGGACUUGA